rnacentral:rRNA from 1 species
UAGGCUGCAACUCGCCUACACGAAGUCGGAAUCGCUAGUAAUCGCGGAUCAGCACGCCGCGGUGAAUACGUUCCCGGGCCUUGUACACACCGCCCGUCACACCAUGGAAGUCUGCAAUGCCCGAAGCCGGUGGCCUAACCACUUAUGUGGAAGGAGCCGUCUAAGGCAGGGCAGAUGACUGGGGUGAAGUCGUAACAAGGUAGC